GGCUCUGUGAGACAGGCCCUCCACUCUCCUGUAGAUCAUGUUGUAAGUGAUGCAGAAGCCAGAGAGAAGGUUGCUCUCCAUCAGAAACAUGAGAAGUUUUGGAGACCUCCCUAAAAUAUUUGGCCUGAAAGGGUUUGAAGCCAGGAGAGAUGCAGUCUUAGGAGAAAUGUUUCAUGAGCUGUAACAGGUACCCUAUCAGUCUUUCUCAGAAUAAAGAAGCCUAUGUUCAUGAGAAUGCUUAUUCUUAAAGGGCUAGAAAGGCCAGUUGAAGAAGGCCAAUCUGUAGAGAUGCCUGGUAAUUCCUUGAUCUUUUUGGAGGCUAAAAGAAGUAAAAUUCUGCUAUGGAAAUUGUCCUAUUAUAUUUCUGCUUUCAAGAAGGGGCUACAAGAUUAUGAAGUUUUGCAACAUUGCCCUCCUAGUCCUGUGUACAUUGCUGUAAAGACUCUCAGGCCUGGAGGCCAUCACUGGCACUGUUCCUCUUAGCAGUUAUUUGGGUGUGAAGUUCCUCACUCCUGCAAGACUCAGCCUGAAGCAGCAUGUCUACAUGACCCACCUGUAGAAUCUGCCCACUUGUCAGUAAGAGCUGUGAAAUCUGCACCUGUUGUCUUUAGAAACUGAAAGAUGGAAAAGAUCUCAGAUGCUGUGACCACCAUGUAACAGACGGAGAAACUGAAUCCAAGAAAUGAAGUGACCACUUUUCCUAAAAUCAAGUAGCCAUGUAGCAGCAGAGCUAAAACAAACAUUCAGUCCUCCUGAAUCCUAACUCAGUGAUUUCUCUUACUAUUAUAUA
rnacentral:lncRNA from 1 species